CCGGCGCCCGCCCGGCCUCCCUCCGCCCCUCCACUUCCCGGCCCCAGGCCCCGGCUCCGGAUCCGGCCCCAGCGCCGCGCCGCGCCCCCGUCCCGGUUCCCUUCCCUUCUCCCCGUCACUUCUCCCGUCCUCUCCUCCCAUUCGGUUCUCUACGCCCUCUCGUCUCUUCCCCUUCUCGCCGCUCCCUGCUGCUCACCUCCUCCUCUUCCAUCUUCUUUCCAUCCCCUAUUCCCCUCUUCUCCCUCAGUGCCCUGGUCUCCCUCUCGCCCCUUCUUUUUCCCAACCGUCAUCUCCAUUCCCCUCUGCCUUUCUCCCAUCCUCUUCUUCUCGCCCCAUCUCCAUCAUUUUCUCCCCAGCUCUUCUCCCCUUUCUCUUCUCCUUACCCCUUCUGCUUGAUCUCUCUCCAGCCUCUUUACAUCAGAUUCUCCUUCCCCACCUCUCCUUUUAUCCUUUUCUUCCUAUCCCUUUCUCCCCGUCUCUUCUCCCCACCUUUCUCCCCAUCCCCUUCUCCCUGUGUCUUUCGCCUCACCUCAUCAUCCCCUUUUCCUCACGCCUUCUCCUCAUUCCCUUUUCUCACCCCUGCCCUUUUCACUACCCGCUGUCUCUUCCCCUUCUUCCAUCGUAACCUCGGCCUUCUCCCCUGUUAGUCACUUUUCAUUAUCCCAUGAUUUCUGUCUCUUUUCUCUCCUUCACCCCCAGGCUCCCUUUCCCCCACUUUCUCUUUAUCCCAAAUUUGAGGGUAGAGAUCGGGAGAUAUUGGAAAGAAGAGCUUUGGGGAUGGUGGUCCCACUCACGAUAUACUCCCUAGAAAAAUUAAGACUGCGAGUAGACUGUGAGAAAAACAGGUUUUCUGGACUUGAGAUGUGUACAAAUGGCACAAAGAAAUCAGGAACUUCUGUGGAGAAGGAACACAGUUUCAGCUGAAGAAGAAGGGAGUGUGAUUUUGGAAGAGGAGUGAGGGAGAGACUGGGGUCCUUGAUCAUAUCCACGGCGCUUGGGCAGCUGGGUGGAUGGAUGGUGGUGAGGCUGGCUGUGCUCCACAAAAGGAGCAGCAGGAGGCUGCAGGGGGUUCGUAUGAGGAGAUGAUGACUGUGACUUGGGGCUGCUGACUUUGAAGUGCUGGUUGGGUAGGUAGGUCUGCAACUUAGAGGAGCGGUCUGGGAUGGACAUAAAUAUUUGGGAGUCAUCUGCAAAUGCCGUAUAAGCUUGAAUAUAGGGUGAAGUUUUUGCUUUUUUGUUUUUCCAAAAUCAUCCCUCAGGAAAGAGGGAGUAACCUUAUAUUUGAGUCCUUACAAGGUCUCUCAUAUUACAGGGUUUGCUCUCAUUUACUUUAUUUUGAACAACAAACCACUGGAUAGGGCAGUAUGGUAUGGUGACUAAGCUUGUGGACUCUGGAGCCAGACUCCCUGGCUCGGGGUCCAGACUCUCCUAUUUACAAGCUGUGUGGCACUGGGAAAGUUACUUAACUUGUCUCUGCCUCAGUUUUCUCAUCUAUAAAGUGGGCCUAAGGAUUAAAUUAUGUAAUAUAUAUAAAGCACUAUAUACCUGGCACUAUAUGGUAAGUGUCCAAUAAAUGCUAACUAUUUUUACUGUUUGGCUAAGACCCAUUGACCUGAAAUGUCCUCAACAAUGCUAUUUUGGAUGUAUUGUAGUCAAAGAAAUUUAACACAGCUUUGGUAACUAUUCCUGGUAGUAUGACCUCAUAAUCGCAUGUGUUGGAUGUCUCAAAAUAUGCUUUUUAAAGAUUGCUUUAAAAAGCAAUACAGUAGUACUUGGAAGAGGUUUCUGGGCUGCCGAAAAUGUUCUAUUUCUUGACCUGAGUGGUUAUAUGGACCUGAGGGAUGUUUCACUCUGACAGUUCAUUGAGCUGAAUAUUUAUGAUGGCUUGUGGCCUUUUCCAUAUAGAUGUUAUAUUUCAGUAAAAAAAGUUAACAGAAAUAUAAUUUUUAAAAAGUAUUACAUUAAGUGAUGUUUUGAAGUCAUGAAUAUACUCAGGCAGGGUGCAUGCAAAAAACCAACUGUUCUAGUGUGAUGCAAAGGAAACUUGUGACUUAGGAUAAAGUUUCCAAGGACUGCAUCAUCUGUGAAUUCAAACUGUGCUGUGUCCUCUCCCAAGCCCUUCGCUUAAACUGAAGAGAAGGACAUCUGUUCUGGGAAAACAUGUAAGAUGGCUGAAAAAGUGAUCCUAAUGAUGAGAAAGACACUGCUUGUGUUGAGUAUGCAUAAAAUUGCUUCAUAAUUUAUGAGAAUGGAAAAGACAAUAUUUAUCAGUUAUAUAUUUUUAUAUGAUAUAUGAAUUUAAAUAUAUGUCCAAUAAAGUCCAUUAACUCAUAGAAGUACACUUUUGAUUGUUUCAUCCUCAUCCUUAAAGGUUUACAUUUCUAGGUUGGUUGAAAAGCUUUUUGGAUCUUCUCACUGGGAAAAAUGAAAAAUUACUGUUUGGGCAAGACCCAUUAACCUGAAAUGUCCUCAACAACCCAAUUUGUGUUGCUUUGUAUACAGUAAGCUGUAUUGUAUAGUAAGUGUGACAGAUGGUAAGUGAAGGUAAGGGAGUGAAUGAGAUUACAGAGGGAGAGCAUGUACAUUAGGAAGAAAAGAAGGUCUAGGACAGAUGCUGAGAAGCUCCAACAUGUAAAGGUUGAGAAGAGGAGGAGCCCUCAAAGGAAAGUGAGAGGAUGUGGCCAGACAGGGAGGAGAAAGAAAGGGAGGUGAGUGGUGCCACUGAAGCCCAGGGAAUGGCCACAGAAGAAGCCAUGAAGUGAGGAGAGGUCAUUAGGUUGGAAUGACACAGAGGAGGCCAGUGAGGUAAGGACUGAAAAGUAUCCAUUGGAUUUGGCUGGGGCCUAGGGGGCAGGCUGGUGACCUUGGGGACAAUGUGGUAGGUGGAGUGGUAAGGAUGAAGGCUAAUUAGCACUCAGUAACUAAGGAGUGAGUGGAAGGUGAGGAACUGAAGACUUGGAGUAGAGCUUAUUCUUUAAGGAGGCCUAACUACAGGGGAGGAGAGAGACCUAUAACUGGCGUAAGGGAUAGGAGUUUUAGGGGGUCAGGAAGUUUUUCAAAUAGAAGAAUCCAAAUUCAUUUAUUUUCUUGCUUCCUUCAUUUAUUGAAGAUACAUUUAGGUGCCUGCUAUGUGCAACUUUAUAGUUAAGAUACAAAAAUUAAGACAUGACUAAGGAACUCAUGGUAAGCUGUGAAGACAGACCUCUCAACUGACAACAGAAGGUGGUAAGUGGAAUCAUGAGAAUGGAUGUGGCCACCCACAGAGAGCAUGAAGUGAGAAGAGCAUCUAGGCAGCCUUUAAGACAUGGGCAAAAAAAAGAAGAGUCAUAAAAGAGAUUGAGAAGAAGCAGGCAACAAGGUAAGGAACUCAUGGAGAGAAUGGAGCAAGGUCCCAGAGGAGAGAGGAGGGACUGAAGAAUUAACCAUCACAACAAAGAGGGAUUGGUCUUUGCCAGGAAGAGAAGUACCUCCUCCUCCAAGACUGAAAAGGAAGAUGAGUGGGGUGCAGAUAACGGCAUGUGUGUAAGUGUGUGGUAGUGGGGGAAGAAGGUGGACAAGGCAGGAAUUUGAGGCCAUCAUACCUGAUGAUCUCAUUCUCUCUAGAGAGGAGUUGGGAUUUUGUGAAAAAUGGGCACGAGGGAGGCAAUAAUGUUAGAAAUCUUGAAAGCUUUAAAGGAGUGAAGACACUGUUAAGGGAAGUGAUAGCUGGUGGCCUUAUAAGCCUAAAGGACCAAGGAGUUGAGGACACUGGCAAGAAAACAAAGGAUAGAGACACACCUACACCUAAGUCCUUGGUGAAAAAGAGGGAAAGUCAUUUCAUGACAACACUGAGGAGGGUAGAGUCUUGUGUAAGACGGCAUAAUUUCAAAGGCUGAGGGGUGAGGAUGGAGAAAUAGUUGUCUCUGUUUAGGCCUUGGGAAGCCUGGAUAGUGGUGACUCCUUCCCUUUUCCUUCAAAGAUAUGUGAAAGUAUGUGCAAAAGGGGAGUACUUAAGCAAAGCCAGGUCUCUUACACAGGAAGUGGAGGCUCAGAGGUAUAUGAAGGGGCUGAGAAUUCAGGAGUUUGUCACCAUGAAAUGGAGGUUUCAGAACAGGAAAGACUGAGGGG
rnacentral:lncRNA from 10 species